rnacentral:rRNA from 1 species
GAGGCACUACGGAGCUGAAGCAACAUAUGCCCUGCUUCCAGGAAAAGCCUCUAAGCAUCAGGUAACAUCAAAUCGUUCCCCAAACCGACACAGGUGGUCAGGUAGAGAAUACCAAGGCGCUUGAGAGAACUCGGGUGAAGGAACUAGGCAAAAUGGUGCCGUAACUUCGGGAGAAGGCACGCUGACACGUAGGUGAAGUGAUUUACUCAUGGAGCUGAAGUCAGUCGAAGAUACCAGCUGGCUGCAACUGUUUAUUAAAAACACAGCACUGUGCAAACACGAAAGUGGACGUAUACGGUGUGACGCCUGCCCGGUGCCGGAAGGUUAAUUGAUGGGGUCAGCGCAAGCGAAGCUCCUGAUCGAAGCCCCGGUAAACGGCGGCCUUAACUAUAACGGUCCUAAGGUAGCGACAUUCCUUGUCUGUUAAGUUCAGAC